rnacentral:lncRNA from 1 species
GCUGAGUUCGCGACCUCGAGUUGUAAUCUGGCGGGGCGCCACUAAGCCGGCGCAGGCCUUCGCAAGAUGGCGGCUGGAGGCAAGGGCAGAGGCCUUCAGAGCGUUUUCUUUUUCCCUUUCCUCCCUUCCUGCAAACAAUUGAGGAAACUGAGGCACUGGAAGAUGAAGGCUACAGAGGUAGAAAGUGAUGGAGUGAUGCCUGGAGACGGGAAUGUCUGGAAUCUUAGAGGAAGGAAUCACACACCGACAAGCAUGGCAGGCUUAGUCUUUGAAACUUAAUCAGAGCCUGAGAUACAUCCAGAAGACUGCAUUACAAUUUCAAAUCAAAGCUGGACAAGUUUUUUUUUUUUUUUACACAGAUAUCACCAUGUUAGAAAAGUUGGACAAGUUUUGAAACCAUUCUGAACCUAUCAUUCCUGUCUUUCAAAUCCUUCCAAGGCAUCUUAUUAUUGAUUUGUUUCUAUAUUUUCCUCAUUAUUAAAGAGGUUGAGUAUCUUUU